rnacentral:misc_RNA from 1 species
GACUCAAUUUUUAGCGUCUCGCCAAUUGUCUCCAAUGCCGACGUCAACGGUGAGCGGCACUGUCAACGCUGCGGCCGACUGCAUCGUCUCGCGAACGACUUCAGACACUUCAUCGGCCUGAGCUUUCGGCACUUCGAAGAGCAACUCGUCGUGUACCGUCAGGAUGGCGCGCGCGUCGGGGUACUUCUCCAGCGCGGCGUGCACGUUGAUCAUCGCGCGCUUCAUGAUGUCGGCCGCGGUGCCCUGAAUUGGCAUGUUGACGCUCACGCGUUCCGCGGCCGAUCGCAUCUGUCCGUUGCUGCUGUUGAGUUCAGGAACGAGACGGCGGCGCCCGUAAAGCGUUUUCACCACGCCCGAGACGCGGGCGUCGGCCAGGGUGCGGUCGAUGAACGCGCGCACACGCGGAAAGCCGGCGAAGUAG